AGCUCCAAUAGCGUAUAUUAAAGCUGUUGCGGUUAAAAAGCUCGUAGUUGGAUUUCUGUCAAGGACAACUGGUCCGCCCUCCGGGUGAGCACAUAGUUUGGUCUUGGCAUCUUGCUGGAAACUGUUGCUGCGCUUGGUUGUGUGGUGCAGCUUUCAGCACUUUCACUUUGAGGAAAUUGGAGUGUUUCAAGCAGGCACAUGCCUUUGGACACAGUAGCAUGGAAUAAUUAGAUUGGGCUUUUGCUCCAACUUGUUGGUUCCUGGAGCUGAGGUGAGAAUCAAUGGGGAUUGUUGGGGGCAUCCGAAUUUAGCCGUCAGAGGUGAAAUUCUUGGAUCUGCUAAAGACGGACAACUGCGAAAGCGUUUGCCCAGGAUGUUUUCA
rnacentral:rRNA from 1 species